rnacentral:rRNA from 1 species
GGUCAAGUUACAAAGAGCUAACGGU